AUGAACGCUGGCGGCGUGCCUAAUACAUGCAAGUCGAGCGGUAAGGCCCCUUCGGGGGUACACGAGCGGCGGACGGCUGAGUAGCACGUAGGAACGUACCCCAAAGUGAGGGAUAAGCACCAGAAAUGGUGUCUAAUACCGCAUGUGAUCUAAGGAUUAAAGCUUCGGCGCUUUGGGAACGGCCUGCGUUCGAUUAGCUAGAUGGUGAGGUAAAAGCUCACCAUGGCGACGAUCGAUAGCUGGUCUGAGAGGAUGAUCAGCCAGACUGGGACUGAGACACGGCCCAGACUCCUACGGGAGGCAGCAGUAGGGAAUUUUCCACAAUGGGCGAAAGCCUGAUGGAGCAACGCCGCGUGCAGGAUGAAUGCCUUAGGGUUGUAAACUGCUCUUAUAUGUGACGAUUAUGACGGUAGCAUAUGAAUAAGGAUCGGCUAACUCCGUGCCAGCAGCCGCGGUCAUACGGAGGAUCCAAGCGUUAUCCGGAAUUACUGGGCGUAAAGAGUUGCGUAGGUGGCAUAGUAAGUAGAUAGUGAAAGCGUGUGGCUCAACCAUACAUCCAUUAUCUAAACUGCUAAGCUAGAGAAUGAGAGAGGUUAUUGGAAUUCCCAGUGUAGGAGUGAAAUCCGUAGAUAUUGGGAGGAACACCGAUGGCGUAGGCAGAUAACUGGCUCAUUUCUGACACUAAGGCACGAAAGCGUGGGGAGCAAACGGGAUUAGAUACCCCGGUAGUCCACGCCGUAAACGAUGGAUGCUAGCUGUUAGAAGUAUCGACCCUUCUAGUAGCGAAGCUAACGCGUUAAGCAUCCCGCCUGUGGAGUACGGUCGCAAGACUAAAACAUAAAGGAAUUGACGGGGACCCGCACAAGCGGUGGAGCGUGUUGUUUAAUUCGAUGGUAAGCGAAGAACCUUACCCAGGCUUGACAUCCUUGGAAUUUCUCCGAAAGGAGAGAGUGCCUUUGGAACCAAGUGACAGGUGAUGCAUGGCCGUCGUCAGCUCGUGUCGUGAGAUGUUUGGUUAAGUCCAUCAACGAGCGCAACCCUUUUAGUUAGUUGUAUUUCUCUAGCUAGACUGCCCUGGUAACAGGGAGGAAGGAGGGGAUGAUGUCAGGUCAGUAUUUCCCUUACGUCUGGGGCUACAAACACGCUACAAUGGCCAGUACAAAGGGCAGCCAACCCGCGAGGGGGAGCAAAUCCCAUCAAAGCUGGUCUCAGUUCGGAUAACAGGCUGAAACUCGCCUGUUUGAAGCUGGAAUCGCUAGUAACGGUAGGUCAGCACACUACCGUGAAUACGUUCCCGGGUCUUGUACACACCGCCCGUCAAACCAUGAAAGUCGCCAAUACCUGACGUGUGAGCUUUGCCUCGCCCUAAGGUAGGGGAGAUGAUUGGGGUU
rnacentral:rRNA from 1 species